CCACGAAGGGGCCCACGCCUCGGCUUCCCGAGUGGGAGAGGCCCGGGAAAGGCGGCGGGGCCGGGAGAGGUCAGGAGGAGCCCUUUCGGGACAGUCUCUUCAUUUAACCGUCUACUCCAAAUUCUGUUUCUUGCCGGGACCCUCACUAGGACAGAGAGGCGUCAGGAUGGGGCGCAGGGUCUGGCCCAGGUAUCAGCUCCUGAAAAGAUGAGGCCAUGCUGGGGUCAGUGCCUGGAGAGCUGUGGCAGGUGACGCAAACGAGUGACAGCCUGGGGAACAUCCUCGCAUAGAAUCACGUGAUUUCCACAUUACGUGUGCAAGAACCAGCCUCGCUUCCAAAAGGUAGGCUGUCCUCUGUUUUCUUGAAACAUGCAGCCUUCUCAGAUUGUGUAUCAUUCCUCCACGUUUGACAGCAACACAUUUUAAGAAUGUA
rnacentral:lncRNA from 1 species